CUGAUUUGCUUAAUUGCACCACAUGUGUUUUUCUUUGAAACAAACUUGCUUUGGCGGUGGGCCCAGCCUGCCGCCAGAGGUCUAAACUUACAACCAAUUUUUUAUCAACUUGUCACACCAGAUUAUUACUUAAUAGUCAAAACUUUCAACAACGGAUCUCUUGGUUCUCGCAUCGAUGAAGAACGCAGCGAAAUGCGAUACGUAAUAUGAAUUGCAGAUAUUCGUGAAUCAUCGAAUCUUUGAACGCACAUUGCGCCCUCUGGUAUUCCGGAGGGCAUGCCUGUUUGAGCGUCGUUUCUCCCUCAAACCGCUGGGUUUGGUGUUGAGCAAUACGACUUGGGUUUGCUUGAAAGACGGUAGUGGUAAGGCGGGAUCGCUUUGACAAUGGCUUAGGUCUAACCAAAAACAUUGCUUGCGGCGGUAACGUCCACCACGUAUAUC
rnacentral:misc_RNA from 1 species